rnacentral:lncRNA from 1 species
CCUUUUCUAGGGCCACUCCCAUGGCAUAUGGAGGUUCCCAGGCUAGGGGUCUAAUCGGAGCUGUAGCCACUGGCCUGCGCCACAGCCGCAGCAACGUGGGAUCCAAGCCACGUCUGCAACCUACACCACAGCUCACGGCAACGCCUGAUCCUUAACCCACCGAGCAAGGCUAGGGAUUGAACCCGCAACCUCAUGGUUCCUAGUCGAAUUCAUUAACCACUGUGCUGUGACGGGAACUCCCAUUUCUAAACAUUUUAGUAGAUAUUUCAUAUAUUUGUAAGUCUUUUAUUAAGCACAUGUUUAAUUUAUAACAUCAAAGUAAUUAAAGGACAUGCUGGUUUAUCAGUUGACUGUAGCAUAGAACCCUAUUGAUUCAAUUUUUUCUCUUUUCAUGGCUGCACCUGUGGCAUGUGGAAGUUCUAGGGGUAAGGGUUGAAUUGGAGCUGCAGCUGCAGGCCUACACCACAGCCAUGGCAAUGCAGGAUCUGAGCCACUCCUGUGACCUGCACCACAGUUUGCAGCAAUGCCACAUCCCUAACCCACUGAGCGAAGCCAGGGAUUAAACCUGCAUCCUCACAGAGACAAUGUUGGGUUCUCAACCUGCUAGGCCACAAUGGGAACUCCCUUAGCUGCAAAUUUGACUUCAUAGCAGAGGUCAUUCCAAGGUCCAUGGACAGAGACAGGAUUCCUACAAAACCAAGGGUGUUACUCUGGCUGCUCUGCAAAUCUUUGCCAGUGAGCUGGCUUUCAUUAGUAUUCAUGCCUUCUUGCUUUUGUCUUUACUUUUUUUCAAUAAAUAUCUUAGUUUUGGAAAUAUAGCUAUUCAAGGCAAAUGGCCAGGGAUAAUUUUCAGGAAAACAUGCUUAAAAUAAGACCGCUGACGGCCCUGUACUGAGUGGUGAUGAUUAUGCAACACACAGCACUCUGAAUCUCUUGAUAGACAGAUUUCUCUCAUCGAAAAACAACCCGUAUCAUCAGCAGCCAACCCAAACUCCAUCCACUCUUUCCAUUUGUAGCAAGAGCAAUUUGAUGCCUAAAUUUAUGGCUUGUAUUAAAAGCUUGGGAACCUGAGAUCCAUAAUUUGAGGCAUACUAUAUCAUGGGUAAUAUCUAUUUUUUUCUGAAGACUUCAAAGGAAUGCAUUCUCCCCCACCUCCAACCUGUCAUUUUUCUGGUACAUAAAGUGCUUUGGGUUUGAGGUAGAAGAAUUCAAUUCUAUGUGCAUUUCCUGGAUUCCUACCUGCCAUGAGCAGGGAGCCGCAGAGAACAAAAGUUGAGAUAACAAAGGCUUAGUUCAAGAAAUGUAUAGUCUAGUAAGGGCUGUGACAAAGACACAGACAACCAAAAUUCAAGGGAGGUACUGAUAGUGUUGGAUUUUGGAGGAGUGGGCAUUGUUGCUUGAAUUCUAGGCAGGAAACCAUGUAAUUAGGCUGCAGCCUACGUCACAACCACAGCAAUGUCCAAUCUGAGCUGCAUCUGUGACCUACACUCCAGCUUGUGGUAAUGCUGGAUCCUUAACCCACUAAGCGGUGCCAGAGAUGGAACCUGAAUCCUCAUGGACACUGUGUUGGUUUCUUAACCUGCUGAGCGACAAUAGGAAUUCCAGGAAGAAUUUUCUGAAGAUAGUGAGAAGUCAGGCAUAUAGACACAGGAGUGAUAACUUGAGGAAAAUUAACUUAUCUCACUUGUCAACACACUCGAAAUGGAUAUCUAAUACCUAGGAAACAUCUGCAGCCAUACUGCAGGUUUAAUAUCCAACCUAAUUUGAGGGGAAUAGCAGAAGAAAUAUUUCCUCGGUAGAGUUGUGGGAGCCAGUAAAUUGAAUGUCCCCUCAAGUUGCUGUCAGGAAGAAAAUGUCUCAUUCCUCUUCCUGAAUCAACUCAUAACUUUGCCCAGAAGAAAAUUAAAUUGGAGUCAUUGUAUCUGCACCCCCAGCUGUGUGGCAGCUCAUGAGAGAAACUAGCAUUUAGUCAUUUUAAAAUAGUAGGUGUGCUACAGUGUUUAAAAGUUGGGAAGGGGUUCCCUUCGUGGUUCAGUGGAAACAAAUCCGACUAGGAACCAGGAGAUUGUGGGUUCACUCCUUGGCUUCACUCAGUGCGUUAAGGAUCUGGUGUUGCUGUGGCUGUGGCUGUGGCAUAGGCCGGCAGCUACAGCUCCGAUUAGACCCCUAACCUGGGAAACUCCAUAUGCCGCAGGUGUGGCCCUAAAAAGACCAAAAAAAAAAACGGCUAGCAAUGACCCUACUUAUAUUGAAUUUUUAAGGGAAAUGAACUCACAGUCCAAGUUACUGUGACUUUUUAUUUCAAAUAUGUCAUCCAGUGGAGGCCAUUUCUAAGGGAAGCCUUACUGAUUUCUUGAGAAAUAGCUUGUAAAGAAAACUUUUGCUCUUAAGUCCAAAGUAAUGGGAGGAUGACAGAGAAGAGAGGAUGGUGCACAUAAAAAUGAUUAAAAGCAUUUAGUGGUAUUCAUUUUAACAAGUCAUUGAUUGACAGGACAUUCAUAACCAUAACACUCCCAAAAGAAGCCUUAGCAGGAGAGGAAUUGCUUCAGUGUAAAAUCGAUCUGUUGGAAUAAUAGGAAAAAACCCAAAGGAAAACCUGAAAUCUGAAGCUGUAAGGUGAACAAAUCUGGACAAAUCCCCAUUGUGUGUUAAGAUUCCUUCUUUGUUUGAAGGGAAGCUGAAGUGGUCAGAAGGGCUAUUGUGUGAUGGGAAAAGGAAGUUUGAACAGGAAGCCAGGAGACUGUUUUCUUCCAUUCAUUUCCUAUGCUACUCUUUGAGUUGAAGCUCUCUCGUUUGUAAAACAGAAAUAAUCUACUGUCAUACAUCUCAUAAAUCUCUCCUAGGGCUUUUGUUGGAAUAAAAUCAGAUAAAAGAUGCAGGAGCUUCUUCAAGAAGGGCAAAGGAUAAGCUAAUGAUAAUCAUUAUCAUUUAUAUACAGAAUACUUCAAGUAUAUCAGACCCAGGCUUUUAAUACAUUAUUUUAUCUUAGCCCCAGAAUAAGCUUGGGGUAGGUCUGUCUGUCUAUCUAUCCACCUAUCUAUCACUAUUCUAUAGAUUGGGACAUAUACAUAUCACUGUACAUCCCUAUGUAAAUUUCCAUAUAUACAUACACACACAUACAUACAUACAUCAUUAUGUCUGUGUGUGUGUAUGUAUAUCCCUAGAAUAUAUCACUAGUCUAUAGAUUGGGACACUGAGAUUAAGAAACACUAAGAAUUUGCCUAUGAUCAUACCUGUAAUCAAUGGUGAAGCCAAGAUGCCCUGAUUCCAUUGCUAACCAAUUAUAUACGUGUUUAGAACUGGAAAAAUCUGAUGAGUUACUUUGUUCAAUUCUACUAUUUACAAGGUGUGCCUGUUUUCUUAGCUUCCUCUUUCAUUCUAAAUCAGGUGUCUCCAUUUUAUACCAGUUCCUUUCCUCAGCACCGCUGAACUUGACCUUUUCUCAAACACUCCCCCACUCUCCACUCCACUAAUUCUUGAACAUCUUUCCAGUCUCACUUCGAACACCUCGCCAUAAGGAUGUGAUAUGGUGUUUACCACUGUAUUCCUAGUGUCAGCACAAAGCUGGUCACUAAGUAGGUCCAUAAAUAUCUGUUUAGUAAAAGGUCGAAUGAAGGAAACAGACCCAGGCGAAUGAAUUGAGCAGAUCAAUGCCAUGUGGCACAAUGGACAUCCAGACCCACUGUUCUUCCUACUAUCCCACUGGGUAAGUUUAUUUCUUGCCCAAAAUCAUGGAUUUUGAAGCUGAAUACUUUAAUCAUAACCCAUUAAUUAAGACCUCAGUGAUUCUCUAAAUGAGUCAUGAACUGUAAAAAUAGAAUGAUAUAUUGUUAUGGUUAAGAAAAAACUUAGCCGAUAGGAGCAUUGAGAGAGCUCAAAUAAAAUUUGGGACCAAUUAAUGACAUGAGAAUGAGAAGCUAGAAGCAAUAUGCAGCUAGUAGAGAAAUGGCUCAAGGCUACAUCAUAUUAAUUUUUGUAGCAUAUGGAAAAUUUUGUGUCAAUCCAGUUUGAAGAAUAUAAAAUUCUCCCUCCUACUUAAUUAUGCAGUGUUCAAUUUCAGCUUCUUCUAUUAAAAUAAAGUGAAAGGUGAGAAAAAAUGCAAGAAAGAAAAUUAUUCUGUAAAUAGAAGUUUUAAUAAAUUAUGUUUAGGUGAACCCGUAAUGCUGAGGCACAUUAAAGAUCUUUAGUGAAAAAAGGGUAUUUUGAUCUGUUAAGAAAUGGGGUAAUUUCAGAAAAUGGUGUCAUGCCGCAGCAUUGAUGGAUGGUGUUAUCCGUGCCACUGAGAGAAACCAUUUUCUCCUUUACCCCUUUAGUAUAAAGCGAUCACUAUGCCACCUAGUGUUUGUUAAAAUCAUCGACAAAUGAUAAAUACCACCAUCAAAGGAAGUGUAUCACACUUAUAGUUUGAUUUACUCUUUCCAUUGAGAGCCCAUUUUCAAGUGGCUUUGUAACCUGGAAAUGUAAUCUAACAUGCUCAUUGUAGGU